GCGGAUGUGGCGGAAUUGGUAGACGCGCACGGUUCAGGUCCGUGUGCCCGUAAGGGCGUGGAGGUUCAAGUCCUCUCAUCCGCA
rnacentral:tRNA from 4 species